GUCAGAGUGAUCUUCCUGCUUCUGCUAUUUUCUCAAACUCCUUCAGCUUGAAGUAUUCAAUAUGCCAAGGUGCCAUAUUUGGGGGGGGGGUCCCCCAACCCCAUCAUCAACAAUUCCCAUACUCAUCUCCAGAGUGAGUAUUAGUCCUUCUUGAUACAACUGGCUCUUGAUGCUGUCACCACCGACUACAUCCAAAGAAUAUUCUCAUCCCCCAAGUAGCAACAAGGUGGGCAUUUUUCAAAAGUAACUUACAAGGAAUGAGAAAGUUAAAAAAUAGAAAUGAAGUUUAACUCAGAGUGGCUGACAUAACUUUCCCAAGUACACAUCAGGAGUUUUCUUUCUUCGUCACUUUCUGAUGAACCCUGUGGGAUGUUCAGGCAGGUCCUGUCCAUUGAGAUUUGGGCUAUAAAUGUUUCAUUUACCUGACAUGUGUUCCCAUAGUAGAGGGAAAAAUCCUCUUUAUGUUGUUUCUCAAGCUAUUGUUCGGACUUGGUCUUCCCAUGAGCCAUAUGGCCUCUAUGGCAGUUCUGAGUCUGUUUCCCUUCUUUUAGCUGCUUGCUCUGAAAAGCUGAAAGACUCGUGUACACUCCCAAGCCCCAGUGCUUGUUAGACACUGUUUCCAAUGAAGACAUGUCCCAGCUUUCCUUACUCAAUGGUAAACUCAGUCUUGUCCAUUCCUUCUUUCCCCCUUUCUGUUUUCCAGAGAAAUUUUUUUUCUUAAGACUCAGAAUAUAAAAAAUGUGUUACCACAUGCAUUCUGUUUCAAGUAAUCACCAAAGUUAUUAAAAAUGCAUAUAGUGAGUGAUAGAACAAUUAAAAAGAAAAGUAGCUUUCCUUCUCCUAGAUAAAUAGUCACAUUCUGUUUUACCUUGUUUUCCUACUACCAAAUAGCUAUCCAUAGAAAUGUGUGCCAAUUACUGGUGUCUUAUGGAAGAAGGUGAAUGAAGUUUUCUGUGGAGGACUGUAUACUUUAUUUUUCUCAAGUUAUUCUUAUUUGCUUUUUAUUUUGGUCUUUGUUUCUCUUGCCUUUCCUCCUAGUAGGGCAAUCUGUUAUUUCUUUUAUUUUUCUUUUGCAUUUGAAAGUUUCCUACUCUGCUUCCAACUUUUUUUUUUUUAAACUUAAUCCUCACAAGGAUUUUGUGUUUAUAAUUCAUAGUUAUAAACAUGUUAAAGUUGGUUCUCCAGUUAGAUGUGCCUUAGGGCAAAGUGAAGAAAGGAGGGUGAAGAGGAAAUCAUUCUCUUGGACUACCCUCCAGGAGAUCCUUCACUCUACUCUAAAAGUUCUUGUUCUUUUCUAGGAGUCCAAUGUGCUGAUUGCUGCUAACAGUCAGGGUACAAUUAAGGUGCUGGAAUUGGUAUGAAGGGUUUACUCAAGUUAAAUUGUACUUGAUUCUGCUGAAAUACAUCUGCAGCUGACAAUAAGAGAAGAUAAAUUGUCGUGUGAUGUCUUUCCCCAGAGUCAUCGUGGGUUUUGGAUUUGCUUUGAGUAUUUUUUUUCCUUUUUUUCCUCCUUUAUGACCUUUGGGACAUUGGGAAUACCCAGUGAACUCUCCACCAUCAAUAUAACUCUAUGGACUUUGCUGCUGUUGGUGGUAUGGUUAUCUAAUUUUUGUGAUAGGGAAACAAAUUCUUUUGAAUAAAAAUAAAUAACAAAAAAUAAUAAAAGUUUAUUGAGCCACAGUUGAGCUGGGAAACUUUUUGUCAAAUAUGGCAAGAGAUAAUCUUAUCUUUUCAAGAAGUAGCACACAUGAACUCCAGAAUAAGGAUGAAUAAGUUGUAAGGUCCCCAUUUCCCCACCUCUUUGGAAUUAUGCAUGUCAACCUAAAGUAUAUGGAUUCCUUUCGGGGAAUUUAAUGUUUACAGUAGGUGGAAAGAUUAAUAACUUUACUUUAUGAAUUUCCAUCUUCAUUCUCUGACCAGAUUUAUGUCAUCAGCAAGUACGUACUCCUCAGUCCCGCUGGAUCUGGCCAGGGGUCUAACAUUGUGACUUGUUGAGAUCACAUUCAAACAGAAAGGGAAUAUCAGUCUGUGACAGCUCUCUCUCUCUUUGCCUUUGAAGUGUUACACAUAAGGCCCUAAAUAAGCCCUAAAUGCAGACAAGCUGACUUAUUUUUAUAAAAUCAUGACUAUCAGAUAGUCCUAGGAAUUAGUGCCAUCCUGGGAUGAUCAACUUAGAAUAAAGGUCAGCAAACUUUUUCCUUUCAAGGGCAAAUAGUACAUAUUUUAGUCUUUGCAGGUCAUAUGGUCUCUGCCACAACUACUUAACUCUGCCUUUGUAGCAGAAAAGCAGCCACAGACCACAUGGAAAUAAAUGAGUGUAGCAGUGAAGUAGGUGAAGGAUUGGAUUUUGCCCACGGACCAUAGUUUGCCAGCCCCUCAUUUAGAGGAAAAGAAUUUGAAGCCCUAAUACACAAAUUUUCAAGCCAUAUAAUCUCUUAGAUGAUCUAGUUAAUUGUGUACAUUGUUUUCAAUUUGUAAAAGGAAAAGUUAGAGUAGCAGAUCAAGCAAAAGUAAUGCCAAGCUUUCUGUUUGAGUUACUUUGAACAUUUUUUAGAAAAAGAUAAACAAUUAUAUGCCACACAUAUUUUAUAAAAAUAGACAUUUGGAAAAGCUUGGUGUGAAUAAGUAUAUGGAUAAUAAGGAUAAUCAGAUUAUCCCAUUGUAUCCCUCUGUUUAAUAUUAUUGAAACCUACUACAGGUCCACAUUUCUGAAACACUUGGGCCAAGUGCAUUUUUGAAUUUAGAACUUCUUGGCUUUUAGAAAAGUAAUAGAGUAGAUAUUAUAUAACACCCUCCAAUAGAGCAAUACUCCAUUAUCGAACACAUUAUUUUUGCAGCAAAAUGUAGGAAUGUUCACAUUAUGUGAGAUUAACAGACUAGAAAUAGUCUUGCAUCAGGUCAGUUCAGUUUUUACUGCCAAAUGAGUUAGCCUCAAACUUAAGUAAAUUUUUCAGUUUUCAGAGCUUCAAGACAAUUAUAUCUUAACUAACAUCUGGGAGUUAAGAACCUGAUAUACUUUUGGACUCAGAAUUAACUCUGAGAGGAAAGAUCACUAUCAUUCGAAAGUUACACCUCUCAUAAACCAGAACAAUGUUAGGUGGGCUUCUUUUCCAAGACUGAUGAAUGUCCUUUUGCAAAGAUAUAGAAAGAAUAUUAACAUGUAGAUUCUUCAUUUAAAGAACUUUACUUAGGUAGAUGUCCAGAAAGUCAUCAAGAGAGAAAGCAGAGAGUUAAUGCACUCUUGAAUGCAUUUAAAUAGAAACAGAUUAUUAUGGGUUUUGUUUGAUCUGUCUUUUUUGGUUUUGUUUUAUUUCAAGAUGUCAGCAUUGUAGGUCAUGUUAAUUUCCAUAUAUUUGGAAGAAUGCAAUAAGGUACCUUUAGUUAUCAAAGGAACUCAGUUUUUUUAAAUAACUUAUUAUUUUAAGAAGGCAGUGUUUUAUUUAAGUUUGUGUUUAACUCUUUUUCAUGUAAAUAGAAACCAUUUUUACAUUUGAGUUAAUCUUUGCAGGAUGUCAAAAUCAAACAUAUAUUACCAUUUCUUAGAAAAAUAACAUAUUAGUUAACUAAAGCUUAAAGGUAAUGUACAUUGUAAUACCAAUAAACUUUCUAACUUAAUAUGGGUUUUUAUGUUUUAAUAUAAUCUUUAUUUCAGUGUAUUUGUAGGGUUUCUUAGAGUAGCCACAGCCUCAAUAAUGGCUGGACCAUUAAUAGUCAAGGAAGAGAAGAAUGUGGGAUGAGUUUGAAGAGGGAAAAGAGCCCAGUAGAUAUGGAGAGCCUUCCAGGGCACUGUUGAAAUUUUGAAUUUUGUUAUAAAAGCAGUUAAAUAGAAGGGUAAAAUGGAAUGGCAUGGUCGCAUUUGUGGUGAAUAAUAAAUGAGGGCAAGAGUGCAGUUAGGAAGUGAUCAGUCGAGGGUUAUUGGUGGCUUCGACUAGGGUGUUAUCAUGAUUCAACCUAAAAACCUAUUUUAGGAGUUCCCAUUGUGGUGCAGUGGAAACGAAUCCGACUAGGAUUCAUGAGGAUGUGAUUUUGAUCCCUGGCCUUACUCAGUGGGUCAGGGACCCAGCAUUGCCAUGAGCUGUGUAGGUUGCAGACAGGGCACGGAUUCCACAGUUGCUGUGGCUGUGGCUGUGGCCAGCAGCUGUAGCUCUGAUUUGACCCCUAGCCUGGGAACUUCCUUAUGCCAAGGGUGUGGCCCUAAAAAGCAAAAAAAAAAAAA
rnacentral:lncRNA from 1 species